rnacentral:rRNA from 1 species
AAAUUGAAGAGUUUGAUCAUGGCUCAGAUUGAACGCUGGCGGCAGGCCUAACACAUGCAAGUCGAGCGGCAGCGGGAAAGUAGCUUGCUACUUUUGCCGGCGAGCGGCGGACGGGUGAGUAAUGCCUGGGGAUCUGCCCAGUCGAGGGGGAUAACAGUUGGAAACGACUGCUAAUACCGCAUACGCCCUACGGGGGAAAGGAGGGGACCUUCGGGCC